UGGGGAAUAUUGGACAAUGGGCGCAAGCCUGAUCCAGCCAUGCCGCGUGAGUGAUGAAGGCCCUAGGGUUGUAAAGCUCUUUCACCGGGGAAGAUAAUGACGGUAACCGGAGAAGAAGCUCCGGCUAACUUUGUGCCAGCAGCCGCGGUAAUACGAAGGGGGCUAGCGUUGUUCGGAUUUACUGGGCGUAAAGCGCACGUAGGCGGACUUUUAAGUCAGGGGUGAAAUCCCGGGGCUCAACCCCGGAACUGCCUUUGAUACUGGAAGUCUUGAGUAUGGUAGAGGUGAGUGAAAUUCCGAGUGUAGAGGUGAAAUUCGUAGAUAUUCGGAGGAACACCAGUGGCGAAGGCGGCUCACUGGACCAUUACUGACGCUGAGGUGCGAAAGCGUGGGGAGCAAACAGG
rnacentral:rRNA from 1 species